rnacentral:lncRNA from 1 species
UAUGUCAUCCAUAUGAACGGUAAUGGUCUUCUCUCCUUAGUCCUGAUAUUGACAAUAAACAUCAAUAGGAGAAAUCAAGAAAAAUGAAAAGCAAAAGAUGUCUACUAUAUACUUAACUACACUUUUCAUCCCUAUUGAUUAUUGUAAAUAAGGUUAAAAAAAAAAAGAGGCGCCAAAUGUGAACAAAACCAUGAUUGUUAUUAGUAGAGAACCCAGUCUGUAAAAUAUUUUCUGGACAGGAGGGAACACAGGGACUAUGCCCUACCCACUGGCUACCAACUAAAUGAGGAGAGACCGUUUCACAUUACCAGAAUCCAGGAGCACACUCAGAAGUAAAAGGUGAUAUUCUGAUAAUCAGCUGCAGCCAUAUUACUGAAAUUUGCUUAGUUGUGCCAGGGUAAAAGAUGUAAAAUUCUAGUCCCAGUUUCAUCUUUAUGUGACUUUGGGUCAAUCUAUGGGAGCUGAAAUCAAUGCCACAAUUUAUUGUUAGAAAAGUCAUGAGAAGUGGACUGGAAAUAUCUGAAAAUCUCUGACUGAUGAAAAGACAGCUUGUGUUAUCAAAAAUCCAUCUCGUUAAUUAGGUUUAGUGUUCAGUUGAAACCACCUUCAAAAAAUUUUAAAACUCUGUCUACAAAACAGCAUAUUCUUAUCUUAGCUAGUGAGUCCGUGUAGAUAAGGUGUUUUCAAGCCUCUUCUGUGAUAUACUAGCCAAGCAAUGGAUGGAUCCUCAUUCAUGACUAAAGAGACAUUUUUGGCAAAGUGAUCUGAGAUGAGCUGGUAAAGUUAGGCCGGGGGACCAUGGGAUCCUAACUUCAUUAUUCAGGAAAUUCUGAAAAACACCAACCACAGUGCACCCCAAGAGUUCAUCACAACACUCUGAGUUUCCUCAAAUCCAGCACUUUUUUUUUUGUUACUGGGUAUUGGGAGCCAUGUACCUCAUGAUUAGAAGCAAGAUGGAACAUUCCCCAGAAUAUGGGAAUGAUGUGGAAUUCACUGAGUAGUUAGUUGUUAAAUACUUUCUUUGCUUUGCUUUCUAGCAUUAUGCUUCCUUGGAUGAUAAUCUUAGUACUUGGGAUGCUGGUACUGCUGGAGGCCAGUUCUAUGAUCAGGGUUAACAAUGUACUAAAGGGAGCCAGAAACAAGUAUGACAAA